UACGUAGGUGACCAGCGUUGUUCGGAUUUACUGGGCGUAAAGGGCGCGCAGGCGGCCAUCCAAGUCAGGCGUGAAAGCCCCGGGCUUAACCUGGGAGGUGCGUCUGGGACUGGGUGGCUAGAGUUCGGGAGAGGAGAGUGGAAUUCCCAGUGUAGAGGUGAAAUUCGUAGAUAUUGGGAAGAACACCGGUGGCGAAGGCGGCUCUCUGGACCGAGACUGACGCUGAGGCGCGAAAGCUAGGGGAGCAAACGGG
rnacentral:rRNA from 1 species